UACGUAGGGCGCAAGCGUUAUCCGGAUUUAUUGGGCGUAAAGAGCUCGUAGGCGGUUUGUCGCGUCUGCCGUGAAAGCCCGGGGCUCAACUCUGGAUCUGCGGUGGGUACGGGCAGACUAGAGUGAUGUAGGGGAGAGUGGAAUUCCUGGUGUGGCGGUGAAAUGCGCAGAUAUCAGGAGGAACACCGAUGGCGAAGGCAGGUCUCUGGGCAUUAACUGACGCUGAGGAGCGAAAGCGUGGGGAGCGAACAGG
rnacentral:rRNA from 1 species